AAAGAAAAAAAAAAUUCUUCAAUUUCUCUCCAAUUCCUCCUCAAAGUAAAAAAGCAUAAAAAAUAAUUCCAUCAUAAUAAUUUAUAGAAGAAUCACUUUUCCUCCGGCAAAGUUAAAACUCCGUCCGUCGCCGAUCCUCCGUUGACUCUGUUUCGACGGUGAAGAUGAACCAAAGUCAAGGUCAGCAAACAAGUGAAGGAAGACACGAGGAUGACGCUGCUCUCGCCGAUUUCCUUGCUUCCUUAAUGGACUAUACUCCCACUAUUCCUGAUGAAUUGGUGGAGCAUUACUUGGGUAAAAGUGGAUUUCAAUGUCCUGACGUUCGAUUAAUAAGGUUGGUGGCAGUUGCUACACAGAAGUUUAUUGCAGAUGUUGCCACCGAUGCUCUCCAACAUUGCAAGGCAAGGCAGUCAACUAUUGUCAAGGACAAAAGAGAUAAGCAGCAAAAGGACAAACGCCUUACCUUGACAAUGGAUGAUCUUUCAAAAUCUCUACGAGAGGUAAAGAUUUUAUGGAUGCAAUCGGGCAUAAUACCAUGGGUGUAUAAAAAGUAACCUCACAUUUAAAAAUGUGAUUCUCUACAAAGAGCUACUAAAUCAUCUUAUACCAACUGGGACCGGACCUUAUGGAUGCUCCAAAAAUUAUUUAGAAGCAAAAUACAUGCUCUCAUGGGUUGUAAGUAUGGUGUAAACGUCAAACAUCAAGAUUACUUUGCUGAUAGCCCGUCUGCUGGGUUAGAUCCUGCUUCAAGAGAGGAGUGACGUAAUGCCUGCAAACAAAUCUCUAUGAUCACAUUCAUCUGAUGGUUGUGAGGUCAUUGACCUGUCAUUCUCUUGAUUCUCAAAAGCUAUAUAUGUAUUGGAUGACAACUCUUGACUGCUAUGUAUCUCUAUAUAUUUGAUUCACUCA